rnacentral:rRNA from 1 species
GACAGAGGUGGCAAGCGUUGUUCGGAGUUGCUGGGCGUAAAGAGUCUGUAGGUGGUCUGUCAAGUCUUUGGUGAAAGGCCGUGGCUUACCAUGGGAAUGCCAAAGAGACUGGCAGACUGGAGGCUGGGAGAGGGUAGCGGAAUUACUGGUGCAGCGGUGAAAUGCGUAGAUAUCAGAAGGAAGGCCGGUGGCGAAGGCGGUUUCCUGGAACAGACCUGACACUGAGAGACGAAAGCGUGGGGAGCAAACAGG